rnacentral:lncRNA from 1 species
UCCCAACAUCCAUCGCUCAUCUGAGGACCCAAACGGCCAGUGCCAAUGGAUCUCCAGCCACCAUAGCCCGCGACCUCGACGAGAUCCGGGGAUCCCCAACCCUGCUGGCUCCUAGGCGAAGGCAAAAGCCUCGCCUGACCGUGAACGGAGCCCGGAGAAACUUAUUUCGACACGACACCACCGCAACGGCCUCGACAGCGUCUCCCUCAACCCUAACCCUACCACACAUCCACCUAGCGAACAGACCCG